UCUCUGUUCGUAUAUUGGUUAGUACACUCGCCUGUCAUCUCAUGCGGCGCGCGAGAAAGCAGGGUUCGAUUCCCUGACAGAGAG